rnacentral:rRNA from 1 species
UACGAAGGGGGCUAGCGUUGCUCGGAAUCACUGGGCGUAAAGCGCACGUAGGCGGCUUUCUAAGUCAGGGGUGAAAUCCUGGAGCUCAACUCCAGAACUGCCUUUGAUACUGGCGACCUUGAGUCCGGGAGAGGUGAGUGGAACUGCGAGUGUAGAGGUGAAAUUCGUAGAUAUUCGCAAGAACACCGGUGGCGAAGGCGGCGCUCUGGACCGAGACUGACGCUGAGGCGCGAAGGCGUGGGGAGCAAACAGGG